GAACGCCUUCCUAAAUCUCAUUCAUACUCUGAUCAGAGAUUUUCAAUCAUAUCAUAGAGUAUUCUCCCCCAAACCAUUUGAAGGUUAGAGAUCCCUUGUUGCGCAUUCACUUGCCUCCAUAGCUAAGCGGCUUAACCCCAACUAUGCCGUGGACACCCUCUUGAUGGAGUGACUUUGACAUAAUCAAAGAUCAAGGACUUAACCACAAGACAACUAUGAUGCCUCAGGUCAAAGGACUACUUUGCAUUAUCCCAACCAUGAGUUCUCAUGUGACAUGAAUAUGAGAACUCUUCGUUGAUCGUGUUCAGUGAACUCAUUCUCUAUUGAGCACCUACGUACUUGUCUUGAUGUCACACACACCAAUGACUCGAGACUAGUCACUCUCCCUGAGAGAAGACAUAGCACGUACUGAUCUUAACGGACUGUCAAUGCCCAAUUGGCAAUCCUAUGAUCAGGAACGUUUAGGACGUGUCUACGAAAUAAUGGUCUCAUGAAUCUAACUUCUUUAGAUUGCAUUCUCCCAAUCACAUAUUCCUUGGACUUAUCGUUUAAGCAUAUAACAUUUAUAUGAGACGGCUCAAACAAUAACCUUUGCCCUUUAUAUUUAAACUACGUUAGUUUAACUUGUGAAAUGUCCGUAAAGUAUCAUCAUAUGAUUGGUUUUAGGGCACAUUUCCAACAGCAGCAACCCUUUCUUCCACCUCCUCCCUCA
rnacentral:lncRNA from 1 species